UGGGGAAUUUUGGACAAUGGGGGAAACCCUGAUCCAGCCAUCCCGCGUGUGCGAUGAAGGCCUUCGGGUUGUAAAGCACUUUUGGCAGGAAAGAAACGUCGUGGGUUAAUACCCCGCGAAACUGACGGUACCUGCAGAAUAAGCACCGGCUAACUACGUGCCAGCAGCCGCGGUAAUACGUAGGGUGCAAGCGUUAAUCGGAAUUACUGGGCGUAAAGCGUGCGCAGGCGGUUCGGAAAGAAAGAUGUGAAAUCCCAGAGCUUAACUUUGGAACUGCAUUUUUAACUACCGGGCUAGAGUGUGUCAGAGGGAGGUGGAAUUCCGCGUGUAGCAGUGAAAUGCGUAGGUAUGCGGAGGAACACCGAUGGCGAAGGCAGCCUCCUGGGAUAACACUGACGCUCAUGCACGAAAGCGUGGGGAGCAAACAGGAUUAGAUACCCUGGUAGUCCACGCCCUAAACGAUGUCAACUAGCUGUUGGGGUCUUCGGACCUUGGUAGCGCAGCUAACGCGUGAAGUUGACCGCCUGGGGAGUACGGUCGCAAGAUUAAAACUCAAAUGAAUUGAC
rnacentral:rRNA from 1 species